rnacentral:tRNA from 1 species
GCCGUCGUGGCUCAGUCCGGUUAGAGCGUCUGACUGUUAAUCAGGUGGCCGCAGGUUCGAAUCCUGCCGACGGCGCCA